rnacentral:rRNA from 1 species
AUUGAACGCUGGCGGCAGGCCUAACACAUGCAAGUCGAGCGGAUGAAGGGAGCUUGCUCCUGGAUUCGGCGGCGGACGGGUGAGUAAUGCCUAGGAAUCUGCCUGGUAGUGGGGGAUAACGUCCGGAAACGGGCGCUAAUACCGCAUACGUCCUGAGGGAGAAAGUGGGGGAUCUUCGGACCUCACGCUAUCAGAUGAGCCUAGGUCGGAUUAGCUAGAUGGUGGGGUAAAGGCCUACCAAGGCGACGAUCCGUAACUGGUCUGAGAGGAUGAUCAGUCACACUGGAACUGAGACACGGUCCAGACUCCUACGGGAGGCAGCAGUGGGGAAUAUUGGACAAUGGGCGAAAGCCUGAUCCAGCCAUGCCGCGUGUGUGAAGAAGGUCUUCGGAUUGUAAAGCACUUUAAGUUGGGAGGAAGGGCAGCAAGUUAAUACCUUGCUGUUUUGACGUUACCAACAGAAUAAGCACCGGCUAACUUCGUG